CUCAACGGUAAAAUGGCCUUCGAUACGGGGCGCCUUGAGUACAGAAGAGGCUGGUAGAAUUCGUGGUGUAGCGGUGAAAUGCAUAGAGAUCACGAAGAAUACCGGUGGCGAAGGCGGCCAGCCAGUCUGUAACUGACGCUGAGGCACGAGAGCGUGGGGAGCGAACAGGAUUAGAUACCCUGGUAGUCCACGCUGUAAACGAUGUAUGCUAGAUGUUGGCCAUGGGGCCAGUGUUGUAGUUAACGCGCUAAGCAUACCACCUGGGGAGUACGUUCGCAAGAAUGAAACUCAAAGGAAUUGACGGGGGCCCGCACAAGCGGUGGAGCAUGUGGCUUAAUUCGAUGCAACGCGAAGAACCUUACCCGGGCUAAAUCCAGCCUGCCGGCUCCUGAAAGGGAGUGUUCCUGUUUUGCAGGACAG
rnacentral:rRNA from 1 species